UGUUAUGUCCAGCAGAAUGACAUAUAAAUGAGCCUUAGUGAAUGAACAGUUUAUACGUUGCUUAUUUCAGUAGAGAAAUGGUUGUCCUCAUAAAAUUAGCCCCAAAAUGCAACUACAGCUGCCUCUUUUCUCAUAUGAGAUACUAAAUUGUAUGGAUUGAUUGAAAAGCAAUCACUUCACUUGUAUGCAAUUUGUGGCAUCAAUUGCGGAUGUCAGGAACAGGGAGGCCCUUGAUCUGCAUCUGUUUGUACAUCCAUUUCCGGUUCUCUGGGGUCACCUCACCCCCAAGUGAGCGAACAACUGAUCCGCCGCUACAUGCACCAAUUUUGCAGCAUUCCUCCAAAGAUAAUUCCUUCACCAGUCCAUACAAAAACCCACUGGCAAAGAGGUCUCCUGCUCCAGUGGCAUCGACUGCCUUUGCUUCCCCAGUGGCUGGAACCCGGACAGUCUCUUUUCCAUGCUUUGCAAUGCACCCAUUACGACCUAAAGUCACUACAGCCCACUUGCAAUGUUCGGCCA
rnacentral:misc_RNA from 1 species